UUUGGUGGCGAUAGCGAAGAGGUCACACCCGUUCCCAUACCGAACACGGAAGUUAAGCUCUUCAGCGCCGAUGG
rnacentral:rRNA from 1 species